rnacentral:rRNA from 1 species
UACGGAGGAUCCAAGCGUUAUCCGGAAUCAUUGGGUUUAAAGGGUCCGUAGGCGGUUUGGUAAGUCAGUGGUGAAAGCCCAUCGCUCAACGGUGGAACGGCCAUUGAUACUGCCAGACUUGAAUUAUUAGGAAGUAACUAGAAUAUGUAGUGUAGCGGUGAAAUGCUUAGAGAUUACAUGGAAUACCAAUUGCGAAGGCAGGUUACUACUAAUGGAUUGACGCUGAUGGACGAAAAGCGUUGGGUAGCGAACAGG